rnacentral:rRNA from 1 species
GCGAACGCUGGCGGCAGGCUUAACACAUGCAAGUCGAGCGCCCCGCAAGGGGAGCGGCAGACGGGUGAGUAACACGUGGGAACGUGCCUUUUGGUUCGGAACAACCCAGGGAAACUUGGGCUAAUACCGGAUAAGCCCUUACGGGGAAAGAUUUAUCGCCAAAAGAUCGGCCCGCGUCUGAUUAGCUAGUUGGUGGGGUAAUGGCCCACCAAGGCGACGAUCAGUAGCUGGUCUGAGAGGAUGAUCAGCCACAUUGGGACUGAGACACGGCCCAAACUCCUACGGGAGGCAGCAGUGGGGAAUAUUGGACAAUGGGCGCAAGCCUGAUCCAGCCAUGCCGCGUGAGUGAUGAAGGCCCUAGGGUUGUAAAGCUCUUUCGACGGGGAAGAUAAUGACGGUACCCGUAGAAGAAGCCCCGGCUAACUUCGUGCCAGCCGCCGCGGUAAU